UACGUAGGGUGCAAGCGUUUAAUCGGAAUUACUGGGCGUAAAGCGUGCGCAGGCGGCUUUGCAAGACAGAUGUGAAAUCCCCGGGCUCAACCUGGGAACUGCAUUUGUGACUGCACAGCUGGAGUGCGGCAGAGGGGGGAUGGAAUUCCGCGUGUAGCAGUGAAAUGCGUAGAUAUGCGGAGGAACACCGAUGGCGAAGGCAAUCCCCUGGGCCUGCACU
rnacentral:rRNA from 1 species